rnacentral:rRNA from 1 species
CAUGCAGGCGGUUAUACAAGUAGGAUGUGAAAGCCUGGGGCUCAACCUCAGAACUGCAUUCUAAACUGUGUGACUAGAGUAUUGCAGGGGGAGACGGAAUUUCAGGUGUAGCGGUGGAAUGCGUAGAUAUCUGAAAGGACACCAAAGGCGAAGGCAGUCUCCUGGGCAAAUACUGACGCUCAUAUGCGAAAGCGUGGGUAGCAAACA